UAUAUUCUGAGGCGGAUUCUGGCGUUUGAGCUUCACCGCCCUCAAAUAUUAGGAAUACUAGGCGGGUGUGUCGUCGGAUAUGGGAUGCUGUCGUCGUUUUCUUGUAAAAAGAGGCAGUUAGAUUUGAGCCGCCUAAAAAAUUUGUGCUGAGGCGGUUUAGGGAGAAGAGGGAACUUCCCCAGGUGACGAGGAGUGAACGAAAUUUCGAAGCAACAACAGAGCAGUGAUGGAGGAUAGAGCAAAAUUAAGGAUCUUUCAUGGCAGUAGGAUCUUGCAUCAUUGAUGUCGUUCAUGCUUGUAUAGGAAAUCUUGGUGAAGCUCGAAUACCGUUUACUUGGUUUGGGCAAUUGACUUGAGGGUUGGUUGGUUCUUACUCUCCAACGCUCGAGGGUCUCAGAAGGUGCAUUUUUGGUGAGGGCAAUGUCGAGCACUAACUAAGAGCAUAUCUUCUCCAUUGCUGCUGAAAAAGAAAAAGAGAACCCCAUGAGCAGAUCUAAGUCAUCUGACAACUCCAUCGCAGCUGAAGAAUAAAAGGGAAAUCCAAAGGACUCUGUAUGUUUGAAGCAAUGUCCCUGGUAUUAUUGAAAAUGGACCUGCAUACUCCAAAGCACUCUCAAUAAGUUGCACUUCACAUUUAAUUAUAUGGUUUUUAAUAGUCGAAGAAAAUUAUUUGUACGUUGAUUAUGUUUCUUUUCUCUGUCUAAUGAAUAUUUUCUUUUGAAAUGAUAUAAAGGCUAGGAAGAGAAUCAGAGAGAUUAUAAGUGAGAUAAUUUGUAAGAGAAAGGAGCAGAGAUUGAUCGAGAAGGAUCUAUUAGGCCACUUGCUGAACUACAAGGAUGAAAAAGGCCAAACACUAACAGAUGAACAAAUUGCUGAUAAUGUAAUUGGGGUAUUAUUUGCAGCUCAGGAUACUACAACAAGUGUUCUAACUUGGAUUCUCAAGUAUCUUCAUGAUGACCAGAAACUUCUCGAAGCAAUAAAAGCAGAGCAAAUGGCAAUAUAUGAACUCAAUGAAGGAGGGAAGAUGACAUUGACAUGGGGUCAGACAAGAAAUAUGUCAAUUACUUAUAGGGUGAUAUUGGAGAGUCUGAGGAUGGCAAGCAUCGUAUCAUUUACUUUUAGGGAAGCUGUGGUUGAUGUUGUAUACAAGGGUAAGUAUUUCGGACGGAAAUUUCUUUUACUUGUACAUUUAUAGGAAGUUUAAUUUGGGCACGAUAGUCGUGAUAGUGAAUGAUAGUGAAUGAUAGUGACAUAGCUAUUAUUAAGGGCACAUAUGUUUUACCUGUACAAAGUCUAAGUCAAAUCCCAACUUACCUAUUAUUAUUUUGUAAUUUGGGAAAUUGUGACUGAUAUUAGCUAAGCACCGUACUUAGGCUGUUAUGUUAAUUAUUUGUUAUUAGUUGGUUGUGAGUGAUUGUUAUUAGUUGCAUUUUAUGUUUUAUUGGUUGAACUUGUAUCAUCUCUCUGAUUGAAGUUCUUCAGUAGUAUAUAAAAGUCUGCUUCUAUUUUUGUAAGAUCAUAAUGAACAUAACACUUUAUUCUGUCAAUUACAAGUAUGUACAGAAGAAGAAAAAGGUACAAAGCAGGGAAUCAAUGAUGGAGAAUUUCUUAUCUUAGUUAGUUUUAAAACAGGUUUGGUUUUCACUUGAGAUAUAAUGCUUUUGGCUUUUCAUUCAAAAAAGGGCUAUUGCAAAGUAUAUAUCUUGUGAAUUCUUUUUAUCUUUUUGUUGUGAGGCCAUAUAACAGGCUUUUAUCGUGCUUUCUACUUGUCCUCAACCAUAUUUUUGCUUUUGUAGUAUACCCCUUAAGAUAAUGUUGGGUAGCAUAUAUACUUAUUGAAAGAAAGACAGUUAUUGGUGGCAAUUAGAUUUGGUCCUACAAGCACCUUUAGCCACAAAUAUAUGUACUCUUACCCCCAACAACCACUUUAAUAGUUUUGGCCUGUUUAACUUGGGUACCUAUUUUCAUCUAAAACCAACUAUAUAUAUAUAUAUGUAAUGGACGCAUCGCAAAUGAACCUGUCUUUUCAUGAAAACAAUGAAAAGAUAAAACGGUUUAGGGGCAAGUGCAUGUAUAUGGCAUGCAAUAGUGUCAUUUUCAGGUACUGCACCCAUUUUAUUUAAAGCUGAUUUAGACCAUUUCAUGUGCUUGACCCUUCUCACAAGUUGCGUAUAUAUUUCAUUAUGAUUCUCAUCUAUAGCAAGGUUACUCUAAUUUAGAAGCAAGGAAUCAUGUUAUGCAUUUGGAUCAAAACAAUUGUUAGGUGAAACGUUGAUUAGGAGGACAGUGACAAUUAAUAAACUUAAUAACCCUUGAUCCAAUGAGCCUUGUAAAAUGCCGCGUGAAUUUAUUAUAUGUUUUUUUUUUCUUUUGUUAUGUGUUAUUAUUUGUUGAUUAAUUAUAAUUAAGAUUAGAUAAUUAAUUAAGUCCAUUAUUUCCUGCUAGCUAACGCCUCUCACAGAUAGAAAGUACUUUGAAGCCUUUCUUCCAUUCAGAAACAGAUAGAGGCAGAUAAAUAGAUCCACGAAACAAGGGCAACCUGAUACACACAACGUUAAUAACAAGAUGAUUCAGUUAAACAAGAUGGCAAUUGUUCUAGUAAUUGUUGCUGCUGCAGUAGCAAUAUUUCAAAGCACAGAAGCAGCAAAAGACACAGUAGGGGUUGGAUAAGUUCUCCUUCUGAUGGCACUUCCUUCUACUCCAACUGGCACUUCCUUAUUGUUUUAGACUUUAAUUUUAGAAGAGUUUAGUUAUUAAUAUGUUUGGUCAUUUUUAGCAUACAUGGUUCUUUCAAUUUUUAUUUUGGAUUCUCUUUACUUUUGUAUUUGAUAUAUGUACA